rnacentral:misc_RNA from 1 species
GAGACGGAGCGAUCUUCUUGAGCUGUAGCGAUGCGUGCAGAUCGAAG